CACCUUUGAGGCUGUUCGCAAGAUGACUCAUAAAAAUAGGGUAAAGUUUGUGAGGGCACAGAUGAAUCAGAACAGAUUCUAAAAGCUCAGAAAGCUCUUUCUUUAUAAAACUGUUGCUAAUUCAUGAGGGUUACAUUUUUGAAAUACAUUAAGUUCUCCUUCCCUUUUAAGUUCUCAGGCUUCUGGCUUCCCUGGGAAGAAGCAGUUUUACCUUCCCCUCUAGGCUUUCCUUGCUAAGUCACAGAAAACAGCCCUCACAAAGCCCACUCAUCCUAUAUUUAUUCUCCGUGUAUUUCCAGGGCUGUUGGUCCUCGGUGGUUUCCACUCGCUUGAUGUAACAGGAGCUCACCACAGAGACACCAGAAAAUGAACCAUUGGGGUCACCAGGACAAUGAGGAGCUGCUCUCACCACCGAGACACCAGAAAAUGAACCAUCGGGGUCACCAGGACAAUGAGGAGCUGCUCUCACCACCUGUCCUUGAUGACCAUGCUGACCUACGAGUCCCUGGAAAUGCUGCCCAGAGGGAACUGCAGAGUUGAGCCGUGGCCUCCAGUGCCAAGGCCCACCUGGUGUGAGCUGGGCUGGUCAGUGGACUCUUGAGGGGUGAUGGGAGCUUCCCAAACCCCCAACCAGACUCCCAUCUUCAGAUGCAAUCACUCCCCUCCUACACAUAUGGGGCCGAAUUCAGAGACACUGGGGUCACCUGCAAGGCCGAGAACAAGGCUUCUGCCUCCUAGACAGCAGGUGCUGAGGGCACAGCUAGGGGGACUGCGAGUGCUACCUGCAUCUGCUCAUGCAUCCCCUCCUGGUCACCUGCCAGGCAGUUGUCUAUGCAGACUGCC
rnacentral:lncRNA from 1 species